rnacentral:rRNA from 1 species
UACAGAGGGGGCAAGCGUUGUUCGGAAUUACUGGGCGUAAAGGGCGCGUAGGCGGCCGCCUAAGUCAGACGUGAAAUCCCUCGGCUCAACCGGGGAACCUGCGUCUGAUACUGGGGUGGCUUGAAUUCGGGAGAGGGAUGCGGAAUUCAGGUGUAGCGUGAAAUGCGUAGAUAUCUGGAGGAACACCGGUGGCGAAGGCGCUUCCUGGACCGACAUUGACGCUGAGGAGCGAAAGCUAGGGGAGCAAACGGG